rnacentral:rRNA from 1 species
UACAGAGGUGGCAAGCGUUGUUCGGAAUUACUGGGCGUAAAGGGCGCGUAGGCGGCCUUCUAAGUCAGACGUGAAAUCCCCCGGCUUAACCUGGGAACUGCGUCUGAUACUGGGAGGCUUGAGUAUGGGAGAGGGAUGUAGAAUUCCAGGUGUAGCGGUGAAAUGCGUAGAUAUCUGGAGGAAUACCGGUGGCGAAGGCGGCAUCCUGGACCAUAACUGACGCUGAGGCGCGAAGGCUAGGGGAGCAAACGGG